ACAGAUUCAAGACGAAAUGAGGAAUUGGGAAGAGAAGUACGUAUUGGUGAGGUUUUCAUCAAGGCACAUACAAAGCCUGAUGGGACAUAUGUUGAUCGGAAGUCAGAGAAGAUAGCAGAAACAUAUGAAAAGAAUGUGCAAGAGAGGUUGUCUCAGCUCGAGGAAGAUCCUUCUGCCAUCUCAGAUGGUUAUUCACGGUCCCGGGAGCUAACAACUGAAGAAUAUACAUAAAUCUUUCUUCAGUCCACUGAGAAGGAUUCAAG